AAGCACGAUUCCAGUAUCGAGUCUCAUAUCGGAAGGCAUGGAUAGCUAAACAGAUGGCGAUGGAGCAACUGUAUGAGGAUUACGAUUCAUCGUAUAAUGAGCUUCAAGGUUGGAUAACUACUAUGCGGGAGUACGUACCGAGGAUUGUGAUUGAGUUGCAGACAAAGCUAUAUUACGGCUCGGAUGACCAGUUACAGCCGGCAAAAAGGAUUUUCCAUCGGAUGUUCUAGACGUUCAAUCCAUGUGUGCGGGCAUUUUCCCACUGCAAGCCACUUGUGCAGGUGGAUGAGACCUGGCUGUAUGGAAAAUAUACACAAAUUCUACUUCAAGACGGUAACAGAAACGUGCUCCCGAUAGCAUUUGCUAUUGUAGAUAAAGAGAACAUGGAGUCUUGAGAAUUUUUCCUCACAAAUCUGCGGAGGUAUGUUAUUAGGAACGAUAACAUUUGCAUCAUCUCCGAUAGAGGGAAGGGUUUAAUUGCAGCUAUUAGGCGUUCCGGUGUGCCAUGGAGAUCCGUUUACUGCAUUCGUCACAUUGCGUCUAACUUCCAUAAAGAUUAUAAGAAUGCAGACUGGAAGAGACAAGUCGUGGCAAUGGCGUACGAGUUAGAGCCACAUAUUUUUCGGCAAAGAAUGAUCCGACUGAGGUAUUCGACGCAAUCGAUCGUUCCACAGUGCCACAAAUUUCCGGUCUUAAUUCCCCAAUCCAAUUGAAAUCUUCCUCUCUUAGUCAUGCCGUGAACUUCCCCCACCUGGCACGGCGGAUCCGGGAUAGGUUGGAUGCAGCCAAACUGUCGUAGCACCCGAUCUCCGUGAUACCACUCGACUACGUUGAAAUUGAUAAUUGGUGCGUUAGUGCACCAUAUGUGGGAAUCAACGUAUGCAGACGAGGGUACAACAUUUGUAAUUUUCGGCUUACGUGGAUACACAUACGGUUGGUGACUAACGGAUGCCAAAACCGGCAGCCAAUAAAGCGCCCAGGACUGCAGCAGUAUGAGGCAUCCGCCGAUGUUGGAAAUAUUCAGGUUUGUCACCUGACAAAGUUCCCGGUACAACAUUGCUAGAACGGCGGAACCCCAGCUAUACGACCUAGCAGUGGACAAAUCAGCUAACAGGGGCAAGUACAUCAAAUGCACAUUGUCGCCGUUUGCAUC